GAAAGAGCUAUGGAACUUGCUAGGAGAGAAGAAGAGGAGAGGAUGCGGUUGGCUAGGGAACAAGAAGAACGACAAAGAAGGUUGGAAGAAGAGAGACUGGAUGGAGCUGAACAAGAGAGACUGGAAUCCAUGCGGAGAGCUGAAGAACAAAGGAUAGCUAGAGAGGAAGAGAAACACAGAAUUCUUUUGGAGGACGAGAGGAGGAAGCAGGCUGCUAAGCAGAAGCUUUUGGAAUUGGAGGAAAGGAUUGCCAAGAGGCAUGCAGAAGAAGCAAAUAGUGUUAAUAUUAAUUCUUCUGGUGUUACAGAUGAGAAAAUGUCAGGGUUGGUAUCAGAAAAAGAUGUUUCCAAGGUGGCAGAUGUGGGUGAUUGGGAAGACAGUGAAAGGAUGGUAGAAAGGAUCACAACUUCAGCAUCUUCUGAUUCCUCAGUAAUGAAUAGACCAU
rnacentral:misc_RNA from 1 species